ensembl:lncRNA
CUUCUUGUGCCUUCUUGCGUCCUUGGGUGACUUUAAAGGUACUUGGGACAGAAUGAACUGUUGUUAUAUUUGCAGUCCGGUAUUAUGGUAACAUUGUUUUGACAGGAAUCUUGGUUAGUGAAGGUGUUUAAACGUCUUCUCUUACUGGGUCUUGUUCUCUGUGGGCCUGCCUCACAGAUCUGGUUGUGAUGUCAUACCACAUGAGGAAGUCCAUAUAUGGUCCUGCCUUCAGAGCGGUUUAACCAGCACAGGGAGCAGUUGGUAUGAUAUCCGCACGGUGAACUUGAUCUAAUCAGACGCAUUUUGUAGCCUUUUGAGACCUUCUGUGUUGAAGUUACGUUAUUAAAUGUAUAUCAGGAACCUCUGGGAAUGAGAAGGUCUAUGAAUCUGCGUCUAGGAAAGACCACCCUGCCUCUGGUCCGAAGAGAGACAACAGUCCCCUGUGAGCGGAAUACGGAGCUCAUAUAAAAGCAGAGGCUGGGAGGAGUAUGAACUGGGAGGGGAACUGGUCCAACUGGUUGGACAUCAUUUCCUUGAUAUGAGUCGGACGGUUUGGUGUGGCUCACUUCAUUACAGCAGGAAGACGACUAAGGCCUCCAGUCUACUAUGGAUGAGGAGAGAGAGGAGGGGGGUCCUACCUCUAAGACCACUCUGUCUGGGGAACAUGGCCGCCGGAGCAAAGCUAAGAGGUAAGAAGAGGAUCUCUCUGUCUGUGACUGUUGUCCAUCUCAGAGCUCAGCAGUGGUACAUCAUGACUCCAUCAUUAGUCUGAGUAAAAGCUGUGUGUUUGUGUGUGUGUGUGUGUGUGUUGAAGCCCAGAGCGGCAGCAGAGAGCAGACUCCCCUGGACCCAGCUGUGUCUCCAUGAAGAGUGACCGGUCUAUGGAUCAUCCUUAUAGCUUUAAAGAUGGACGGCCCUCCAGAGAGGAGAGCCCAGAGCAGCAGCAGAGAGCAGACUCCCCCGGACCCAGCUGUGUCUCCAUGAAGAGUGACUGGUCUAUGGAUCAUCCUCAUAACUUUAAAGAUGGACGCCCCUCCAGAGAGGAGAGAAGGAGGCAGCAGAGAGCAGACUCCCCUAGACCCAGCUGUGUCUCCUUGAAGAGUGACCGCUCUAUGGGACGUCUUCUUAACUUUAAAGAUGGAAAUCACUCUAUUGAGAAAAGAAGAGUCCAGAAGGAGAGAGCAGACUCCCCUGGACCCAGCUGUGUCUCCUUGAAGAGUGACCGCUCUAUGGAUAUACCAUUGAUGUUUAAAGAUGGACGCCCCUCCAGAGAGGAGAGCCCAGAGAAGCAGGAGAGAGCAGACUCCCCUGGACCCAGCUGUGUCUCCAUGAAGAGUGACCGCUCUAUGAGUAUACCAUUGAACUUUAAAGAUGGACGCCCCUCCAGAGAGGAGAGACACCAGAAGAGGUCAAAUGUUACCAGUGCUCAGUCUCUACAGCAGCACCAAACAGAGCUGAUCAAG